UCUUCUUUCGUCUUCGAUACCAAAACAUUUCUUCCUUGUUCGUCUGAAACGAAAACGAUCGAGUGGCCAGUUAUUUCUCUGACUCACGUCGACAUGACGAAUUUGUUUCUUUAUCUUCUCUCCCGUGCUCUAUAUUCUCUUCUAAUCUACUGAAACGCUCAGAGUUAGAUCUAUCGCCUUUACCCUCUUCUAAACUCACGAUCUGACAUUGAAUGCGAGUUUACACCCUGAAAGUAUGUGUAUCUACACUAUAUAAAGUCCAGGGGCUGCUCCUCCACCGUGCUGCUCCUACACCGUUCAAGUGAUGUUCCCCAACUGACGUGUAGUUGAUUGAGGCAGUAUUUGAAAGAGAACGUAGCUUUGGAUAUCUGAGCUUCGGGAUGUGACCCAAGCCUGAGGUCAUUGUGAAGGUUCGAUACUUAGCCGAGCUAUGGAGGAGAAUGGUCGCGUGAUUGAAGCCGCCAAUUAACUUACCUGAUAUGCAUGUGAUGCGUCCUCUCAAGUGAUACUAGGCAAGCUGAGCAGAUAAGAAACAACAUGGAGAGUAAUCAUGAAGUCUAUGCUAUGUUAAAAGGUUUGAAUUCUUGGACAUGGUGGUGAUGCACGAAGUGUUAUUGUGGGAACAAGAAAAGAAUGAAGCGAAUGGACAAGAAAAAGAACAAUGCCGAUCAACUCGCUGUGGGUCGCAAAAAGGCCUGGUGUUUUGGCUGGUGAAGCUACUGCGACCAAAGUGACUGAUGUGCGCUCUUUUCCUUAAAAAAACUCAUAUGUAUACAUCUGCAGACGAAGUCAUCAAAUUCUCUUCUCGACUUUAACCAGAAAAUGGGGUCUUCCUUGGUUUCGAGACUGUAAGGAGACACUCACGAGAUUUUCCAUGGUAAGCUUUGUUCAUCUCAAUGAGAGACUUCUGAACGUUUGCAUUUGCAGGUAUAGAGAACACUUUUAAUAAUUGAUCAUGCGUAUAAGAGAUCUAAUUUUCGAAGGAUUUGGCUGCAGCUCUAAAGUACUCGGGAUCCCCACUGGUCUGUAUAGUAACCAUCCAACCCGGCUUUUCUCUUCACUUGAUAUAUUUGCAUGACCGCUUUUAUUAUCCCUGCAUUUGUUGUCAUUUAAUUGGAUACAACUUUUAAGAUUGAACAAUAUCUUCACCUUAUAUUAUAAACAUGGUGGGAAAUGGAUGAACCAAUAGGUUAGGUUUUGUCCACGUAGAAGUGUGGAUUCCUAUGAUUCAAAGUUUCCAUCAAUGUCACUAUGUAACCUUUCAUUGCCUCUA